UCAGAGAAUUUUUCCCAAAUCAAUAGCAUUAAAACCUAUGACUUUUCAACACUAUACACGACCAUUCCUCACGAUAAAUUAAAGACUAGACUUGUUGACAUCGUAUUGUUGUCAUAUUUGAGAGGGAAUCCAGCCAGGAAAGACAGAUACACUAGGGACUUCUUCACAAAUGGAUAAGUUGUCCAGAAAAAGCGAGAACAUUCAAAUAAUCAGAAAUUAUAUCAUCACAAUUGCAAACCAUGAUUUUGUGUUCACACCAGCUUCCACAAUCUUACAGAGGAGAGCAUUUAUGGGAAUCAUCCAUGGGUAACCGACGACGAGGAAUUACAAUAUGUGAAGGAUUUCCACCAGUUUGAAUGAAACGAAUUGGAAUGAGCUACUAUUCCUGACAUAUGAACAAAUUGCCAUUUUUUGCCUGUUUCCAAAUAUGUGCAAGAAGUAUACAGGGAUUGAAAGCUGAGAAAGAGACAAAAAUCCCUUUCCAUUGUUACAUAUUAUAUGACAGUGAGGCUAUCAAUAGUGUAAUAAUGAUAAACAUGUGAAGUGUUUGCUAAUAAAACAUGAUAAAUUUUC